UUGAAGGCCUAUAAAUAGAAGCCUUACUGCAAUGUAAAACUGGCACCGAGCUUCCUUUUCUAUGCUCAGCUUCUUACUCUCCUUCUGUUAAAUUUAGUAGUUCUCUGAUGGUUCUUUUAUAGCUAGUAUAUUACAACACGUUAUCAGCACGAAGUCCUGCCGGAACUGAGAAGGAGUGAUCAGAGUUUAAGCUGGAAGCUGAUCAGAGUUUAGUAAAGUCUGACCAGAGUUUGAUAAAGUCUGAUCAGAGUUUACAUAGUCAAGACUCGUCAGAGUUUACACGUGGAAAGAGCUCAGAAGCGGAUAUACUUCAAGGAAGGAUAGAAGCGGAGGAGUGAUUUGCUGACUAUGGAAACUAAACAGAAAACAGUAGCAAUCUUUGAUUGAUAGAAUACAUAGCUGAUUUAUAGGAUAUCAAAUCAGAGAUUGAUUUUGUAACUGUGUCUAUAUAAACACAGAAUAGGGUUACUCUAUAGGAGUUGAGUUAUCGAGUACAUUGUUAAGAACCCUAGCAGCUCUUAGUGAUAAAGUAUAAAUCACUGAGAGAGUUUUUGUAACCAUUCAAGCUUUGUGAAUAAGAGUUUAUUGUUUUCAA